rnacentral:rRNA from 2 species
CAUGCAAGUCGAGCGAACAGAUAAGGAGCUUGCUCCUUUGACGUUAGCGGCGGACGGGUGAGUAACACGUGGGUAACCUACCUAUAAGACUGGGAUAACUUCGGGAAACCGGAGCUAAUACCGGAUAACAUUUGGAACCGCAUGGUUCUAAAGUGAAAGAUGGUUUUGCUAUCACUUAUAGAUGGACCCGCGCCGUAUUAGCUAGUUGGUAAGGUAACGGCUUACCAAGGCGACGAUACGUAGCCGACCUGAGAGGGUGAUCGGCCACACUGGAACUGAGACACGGUCCAGACUCCUACGGGAGGCAGCAGUAGGGAAUCUUCCGCAAUGGGCGAAAGCCUGACGGAGCAACGCCGCGUGAGUGAUGAAGGGUUUCGGCUCGUAAAACUCUGUUAUUAGGGAAGAACAAAUGUGUAAGUAACUGUGCACGUCUUGACGGUACCUAAUCAGAAAGCCACGGCUAACUACGUGCCAGCAGCCGCGGUAAUACGUAGGUGGCAAGCGUUAUCCGGAAUUAUUGGGCGUAAAGCGCGCGUAGGCGGUUUCUUAAGUCUGAUGUGAAAGCCCACGGCUCAACCGUGGAGGGUCAUUGGAAACUGGGAAACUUGAGUGCAGAAGAGGAAAGUGGAAUUCCAUGUGUAGCGGUGAAAUGCGCAGAGAUAUGGAGGAACACCAGUGGCGAAGGCGACUUUCUGGUCUGUAACUGACGCUGAUGUGCGAAAGCGUGGGGAUCAAACAGGAUUAGAUACCCUGGUAGUCCACGCCGUAAACGAUGAGUGCUAAGUGUUAGGGGGUUUCCGCCCCUUAGUGCUGCAGCUAACGCAUUAAGCACUCCGCCUGGGGAGUACGACCGCAAGGUUGAAACUCAAAGGAAUUGACGGGGACCCGCACAAGCGGUGGAGCAUGUGGUUUAAUUCGAAGCAACGCGAAGAACCUUACCAAAUCUUGACAUCCUUUGAAAACUCUAGAGAUAGAGCCUUCCCCUUCGGGGGACAAAGUGACAGGUGGUGCAUGGUUGUCGUCAGCUCGUGUCGUGAGAUGUUGGGUUAAGUCCCGCAACGAGCGCAACCCUUAAGCUUAGUUGCCAUCAUUAAGUUGGGCACUCUAGGUUGACUGCCGGUGACAAACCGGAGGAAGGUGGGGAUGACGUCAAAUCAUCAUGCCCCUUAUGAUUUGGGCUACACACGUGCUACAAUGGACAAUACAAAGGGCAGCUAAACCGCGAGGUCAUGCAAAUCCCAUAAAGUUGUUCUCAGUUCGGAUUGUAGUCUGCAACUCGACUACAUGAAGCUGGAAUCGCUAGUAAUCGUAGAUCAGCAUGCUACGGUGAAUACGUUCCCGGGUCUUGUACACACCGCCCGUCACACCACGAGAGUUUGUAACACCCGAAGCCGGUGGAGUAACCAUUUAUGGAGCUAGCCGUCGAA